CAGGCUGUGGGAGGAGGUGGGCAUGAGCUCAGGAAGUGUAGAGAUCGAGCAACCUGAAGUUGUCCUUGAGCCUCUCUUAGCACUGUGGCUGUGGGCAUGGCCAGACCAUUCAUGUCCCACGCUGGGAGAAAAAGAAAACCACCCCCAAUUUUGCUGAGCCCCAGCAGUGUGAACAGAGAGAAAAGGUGCUUCAGGGCAGGAAGAAACUGUGAAGAAAUAGAUUUUCAAACUCCAUUUA